rnacentral:rRNA from 1 species
UAGGGAAUAUUGCACAAUGGAGGAAACUCUGAUGCAGCCAUGCCGCGUGUGUGAAGAAGGCCUUCGGGUUGUAAAGCACUUUCGGAGGGGAGGAACAAAUGACGUUACCCUCAGAAGAAGCACCGGCUAACUCCGUGCCAGCAGCCGCGGUAAUACGGAGGGUGCAAGCGUUAAUCGGAAUAACUGGGCGUAAAGGGCAUGCAGGCGGUUUAUCAAGUAGGAUGUGAAAGCCCCGGGCUCAACCUGGGAAUUGCAUUCUAAACUGAUAGACUAGAGUAUUGCAGGGGGAGACGGAAUUCCAGGUGUAGCGGUGGAAUGCGUAGAUAUAUGGAAGAACA